ACAACAGCCCUUCCUUCUUAGAUGCCCCCAGAAGCAACAGAAAAGGGCCCUGGGAACUACUGAGCAUGUGUAGCCAGGCCUACCGCCGGGCAUGCUGGGAGUUGUGGUCCUUGAAAACACAUUGCCCCUGACAGGAGUUCUAAACCAGAGGACUGAGGAGUUUCCUUCCCCUUCGGACAAGCAGACAGACGUUGUCGAACAACAGCCAGAGUCCCCAGGUUUCUAAAAUCCACUUUCUAAAACUUCCCUAAUUUUAAACACUGAGGCCUGGGUUUCUCACACCAACACCUCUUCACUUGCCAGCAAUCAAGACCCCUUUCCAAGUCAAUCCUUCGACACAAGAGAAAAAGCUCCCAGAUGACUACAGAAAUAAUACCUAGCAGGAUUUAGGCAAGGGAGAGUAAGGGAAGAUCUUCUAGGACCCCAGAAAGUGAGCAAAGAGAAUGGAUGAUUUUGCCUACUUUCCCAAAAUUUCCUAAGGAAAAAAGGAAGAGACUGGCUUUAUUUUAACUCCAUUUCCCCUCCCUAACCCCUAUACUAAUUGCUCAAGCCCUCUUUUCCCAGAAAAGCGGGAAACUGGGGCCUAGGGAGGUGAAGGGCCUAACCAAGCCUUUGAGUGAUCAGCUAGCUCUGCUGAGGGACUCAGGACUUCCUCGUUCCCAAGCCACACCUCUCUUCACCCUAAUUUUUGGGACAGCCCCCCAGAAAGGACCCUAAAGCCAGCAAGCUCUCCCUAUGGAUCCUCGGGGUCAUCCCUGGCCUUCUAGGGUCAGCCACACCUCAUCAGAGUAGUCCUGGGGGGCUGGGGGAGCAGAGCAUAGAGACUAAGGGGCUCUAUCAAUGAAUAGGGCUGGGGCCUCCAGAGAUUGGAAACAGGCAGCACAGCUGCCGCCUGUUUUACACCCCUACCAAUGCCAUCUCUCACUACAGGGUUAAUACCAAGAAAUCUUUCAAGGACAGGGCCCACACUUCCCUAGUUUCUAAACUGGGCCUAGGGAACCCUGGGGUGGGAGUGCGGAGGGGGAUGGGGAGUGGAGACUCCGGUCAGAUCCCUUCAGCAUGGCAUGACAGGUGGGGGUACUGAGAAAAAAGGCACCUGUCCCAGGAGAAAGCUGGGAGAAGUGAGGAGAAUCCUGGAGCCUGCACAAAUGCUCAGAGCCCUAGUCACAGGCCCUCCAGCACAGUCAGCACGGAUCUGGCCACUUCCCCUCUGAGGAAGGCAAGGCCGCUCUCCUAGCCCAGUGGGGGCAAAUCAGAGGACCAGGUUAAGCCCCAGUUGCAGAGGGGUUGGAGAGGUGUGGGAGGGGCCAAAAAGGGCAGGCGGGAAUAGCCAGGGGCUCAUGGGCAGCAGACCCUCCAGGCCAGAUUCGGAGAAAGCCACAAACAAAAGCCAUUUUUUCCGGCCCACAGUCGCAGGAAACAAAUCUCUCCAGCCUCCUCUAUAAUCCUCUGGAGAUUAUGUCCAUCCCCAAGAGAGGGAAGGCAACAGGACUGCGACAGCAUUAGGCCUCCCCCGGUCAAUUUGUUUUACUGGGCAGGGAGUAUUGGGGAGAUCAGCAUCAGGGCCGUCUCUGCUUCCUUCUAGACCUGGCCACCCCUUCCUUCACACAAGUCCGGCUACAGGAACUCCUAUUGCACGAACAGGAAGGGGGAAUGGAGGUGAAAGCGGGAGGGGUCCCCGAGUCCAAGGCGCCAGGCAAAAGUGUGUGUGGAGCGGAAGGGGGGCUUACGGUCAAACCAGGCGGUGGAGUUCUCCCCAGUCCCCACCUCCCCCGGACACGAGAAGCCUAAACAAGGCGGGAGAGGAAGCAGCCCCAGGGGCGUGUGCGGACUGCUGGGACAACUCUAGCCAGUCCCGAUAGCCGAUCAUCCUCCCAGCACACACAAAAUAAAAACACACCUGGACUGUGAGGAGACUUGAGCCAUCUUUCCCGGAUCUCAGGCACACCCCAACACACCAGGCCGCAAGGCAAGCCUCACUUCUGGUCUCUGGACGGACAUUGCCAGGAAAGCCCUCCCCUAAGCUCUGACACCCUCGCUCCCCGAGUAGAGAAACUGGCCCCUGCUAAGAGACGUGAUCUUGCUGCACCCAUUGCCGGGCCCGGGCAGUGCGGACUUCACUCACCUCUUCACAGGGCGAUCCAGAAAUCUUCACCCGAGAACAUGGCCACAGCUCCGGCCGCUCCCCGACCUCCACCCGCCAGGACGAUCACAACCGCCCCCCACACGGGGGGGGCCAAAGAGGGGCCAAGAACGGUAAAUCCAGGUCGGAGCGGGCCCCCCCUUCAAGAAAAAUUUAAAGUGGAUGAAAACACCAAGCGGGGAGUUAGUUCUCUGCUCUCGGUCCCAGCCGCUUAGGUUUCCUAAGCAAAGCCCCGGGGCGGCGAAUCCAGAGCCGACACAAAGGGAGCACCCGUGGCUUUGAUCUUCGGCGAGCAGCCUUCACCUCCGAAGAGCUGGUCCGCCUCCCAGCCCCGGGCCCGCCGGGCGCCCCCCCACCCCACCCCGCGAUGCCCAGCGCCCGGUUCCUGGUGGAAGGAAGGCUGAAAUGCUCUCGAUGGAACGCGGGAGGCUUCCCUUCGCCAGCCCAGAUGGAACGCGGAACCUCUUCCCCGGCUGGCCCGGAUGGAACGCUGAGACACUUCGGAUGGAACGCAGAAGCUCUCCCCGCCUCGGGCCCCCUGAGGCCGUGCUCGCUUAGCUACAUUGAAGCGAAGCCGGCAGGGCCUCGGGAGUGAAACUGACACACACGCACGGGCCCCGCCGUCUCCGCCCCAACCUCUCUCUCCUUCCGCAGCCUCGGGCCCCGCACCUUCUCCUCCUCCAGGGGAAGGGAGGGUCGGGCGACGAAGGAACGGGCUGUAGGAAGCCUCUGCCCGCUCCUCUCCGGCCGCUCCGGGCCCAGCUCUCGCCUCCCUUCCCCUCUCGCUCCGAGGGCUGCCCCGACUCCGAUCCGGCCGGAUCAGGCUGGCUUGCACUCCACUAUCGCGUGCAGGCUAGGACCACUGGGGAUCUAAAGGUACAUGGCCCAGCCCCGGCUCCCGGCGCCGGGGGUCAGGAAACUGAGCGGAAAGUGGGGACCAAGGCAGCCAUUUGCAACCGGAGAGGAAAGUAGUGCAGCAGAGACACAGCUCCGCCUCCCCCCUCCGCCUCCUGCGCGGCCGGGAGGGUGGAUCCUGCCAACCGGGCUGCUCUGCGGCCCGAGAUGUUGACGGCGGGCGUAAAGAUCCAGAGAACCUCCUGCGGAAGAAUCGUGAGGGGGCUUGGGCCGAAGGACCCAGUUGGAGAAGGGGAAAAAGAAGAGGACGAGGCCCUAUUUUGUGUUGGACCUGAGCGGCGGAGGGACACAGUUCUUUCGGUGGAAGGCUGUGACUCUGCAGUUCUGCGCACACGCUGAGGAAUCCCUCCGCUUGAGGUUAACCCCGACGGCGCCGGUCAGACCUAUGCGCAGACACGUGGGAUUGAAGUUCUCUUGAGCUCUUGUCCUUCCCCACAAUUUUCCCCAACGGCCUAUGUUCCGAUCGGGACCUGGAACCUAUAAGUCCACAUUUCCUCUGCCUCUUCUCUCAAUUUAUUCUUCUCGGGAUUCCCAGGACCCGAAACUCCAGCUCCCCCCCCCCCCCUUGGUCCUGGGGCAUUCUUGCUAAGGAGGGGGAUGGAAGAAGAGAAGAGGAGACUGGGGAUUGGCUGCUGCUCUGCACCCUGGGAACUGGAGUCCCCAAACGGAGAAAGUGAGGACUAGGCUCCCUGGUCUCACAGGAAGGAUUUUCUCUACAUUCUGGGCACUGUGGAAGACUAGAGCAAAAGCCUCAUCUUCCCACUCCUGGGAGAAAAAGGAGGCUAGAGGGGAGCGGGGAGAAGUGUGUGCCCCCUCAUUUCCUCUGAUAGAAAGGCAGCGAUCCUUGUAGAAGGCAAAACAGACUCCCUAGCAGACUCGCUCUUGUUUCCUGGCCCAAAUUGAGUUACCCGGGACAAUUGAGAGAAAAUCCCCUUGAAAUACAAUCCUGGCAAACCUGGGUGAGAGGGAGGAAGAAGUUCUCAAUUAUUAGAGCCGUGGAGUUUCCCUGGGCCCAGGAUCCUGGUUCUGGGCCUUUCCAAAGCCAUAAAGAGGGAAGAGGGGAGGGUCCUCCUGAACCCUAAAUUCAAAGUAGCCCAAGUUUUGUGGGCCUCCUUUCCCUGUUUCCUCACCUCUUAUUCUUGAAUCAGUACUACAAAACAAAAGAUUUCCUUUUUCAGGAAAA